AGCGAACGCUGGCGGCAGGCUUAACACAUGCAAGUCGAACGGGCACUUCGGUGUCAGUGGCAGGCGGGUGAGUAACACGCGGGAACGUACCUUUUGGUUCGGAACAACACAGGGAAACUUGUGCUAAUACCGGAUAAGCCCUUACGGGGAAAGAUUUAUCGCCGAAAGAUCGGCCCGCGUCUGAUUAGCUAGUUGGUGAGGUAAUGGCUCACGAAGGCGACGAUCAGUAGCUGGUCUGAGAGGAUGAUCAGCCACAUUGGGACUGAGACACGGCCCAAACUCCUACGGGAGGCAGCAGUGGGGAAUAUUGGACAAUGGGCGCAAGCCUGAUCCAGCCAUGCCGCGUGAGUGAUGAAGGCCCUAGGGUUGUAAAGCUCUUUUGUGUGGGAAGAUAAUGACGGUACCGCAAGAAUAAGCCCCGGCUAACUUCGUGCCAGCCGCCGCGGUAA
rnacentral:rRNA from 1 species